rnacentral:rRNA from 1 species
UACGUAGGGUGCAAGCGUUGCUCGGAAUCACUGGGCGUAAAGCGCACGUAGGCGGAUUGUUAAGUCAGGGGUGAAAUCCUGGAGCUCAACUCCAGAACUGCCUUUGAUACUGGCGAUCUUGAGUCCGGGAGAGGUGAGUGGAACUGCGAGUGUAGAGGUGAAAUUCGUAGAUAUUCGCAAGAACACCAGUGGCGAAGGCGGCUCACUGGCCCGGUACUGACGCUGAGGUGCGAAAGCGUGGGGAGCAAACAGG